rnacentral:tRNA from 1 species
GGGCCCAUGGCGCAGCCUGGAUAGCGCGCAGGCCUCCGGAGCCUGAGACAAUUACCAGCUAUAAUUGGGGCAAAUCUGGGGUUCAAAUCCCUGUGGGCCCGCCA